UACACGCUGUGACUAGCAUAUCAAUAAGCGGAGGAAAAGAAACUAACAAGGAUUCCCUUAGUAACGGCGAGUGAAGCGGGAAGAGCUCAAAUUUGAAAUCUUCAAGGUUUUACCUUGACGAAUUGUAGUUUAAAGAAGUGUUUUCUGCUGAAGUUUUGGUAAAAGUUCUUUGGAAUAGGACAUCAUAGAGGGUGAGAAUCCCGUAUUUGACCAUUAUUUUCAGCUGUGUGAUACACUUUCAAAGAGUCGGAUUGUUUGGGAAUGCAGUCCAAAAUGGGUGGUAAAUUUCAUCUAAAGCUAAAUAUUGGCGAGAGACCGAUAGCGAACAAGUACCGUGAGGGAAAGAUGAAAAGAACUUUGAAAGGAGAGUUAAACAGUACGUGAAAUUGUCAAAAGGGAAGCGUUUGACACCAGUGUUGUUUUUCUGAAAAUCAAUUAAAGAACUGUUUAUGCUAAGUUGUUUAGACUUUAUCAGCUAUCUGUUUAGUUUUGAGCUUUUCUUUAAUGCACUUUUCAGUUAACAAGUCAACAUCAAUUUCUUUUGCUGUAAAAAAGCUUGAGGAAGGUGGCUUGAGAUUCGUCUUAAGUGUUUAUAGCCUCUUGCCUAUGCAGUCGGAGAGAUUGAGGUCUGCAGCGUAGAUCCUUCGGGGCUAAAUGCAUUUGUGCUAAGUUAUAGCAUUUUAUAGGACAACUUGUUGACUAUGAUUUGUCUUGUAGCUUACUCGCUUAUGUUAUUUUACCUACGCUUAGGAUGUUGACGCAUGAGAUAUACGC
rnacentral:rRNA from 1 species